rnacentral:lncRNA from 1 species
CAUAAGGAAUUACCAGCAACAAUGUACGGAAUGAAAAAAAUUGCGUAAUUUAUUCAGCUAAUACGCAGGUUUAAGAUAUCCCCAUCAUUUUAGAAAAUCGAAGGAAUUGAAAUGAAAAAACUGUUCAUAGGUCAAGGUACAUAACAGACACAUCACAUCAUGCAUAAGGUGAUUUGUAGAAGAAGCUAAUCUUGUAUAACGACAAUACAAAAUGCCCCUACUCUCCCUAAUUUCUUGCCAAUGUUUGGCUCAUGUUUAUAAGUACUCAAGUCAUUUUUAUCCAACAUUUGAUGAGACCCACAAACUCAUCCACCACUCAUUUGUAUC